UUUUAAGCCUGACUCCCUCACACAUUUCCCAAAAAAAGUGACUGAGUAGGGAGGGAAGCAGCUCCCUGGAUUUGUAUUCCCAGCUUCAUUUACACAGAGUCAAAGACUGACAUUAGAACUUUUCUUAAGCUGUUUAUCAAAAAUAAUCAUUUGCAGGGACAAAACCUCUGAUAGAUUUUUGUCAUUUUUUAGCUUGGUCUUCCAGUAGAUCUUUAGCUUCAUUGAUUUUGGCUGCUACAUAUGGAGAGCCACCUAGGAAAAAAAAGAGAACCUCACAUCAGAUGAAAAGAACCCCCACAUUUUUUUCUGUGUUGUUAAUAAUGCCACAGUACACAGGGAAAAAAAGUGAGGAUGGUCUGAGAGUUCUGGCAGUUAAAGAACAAACUGGUUCCGACUGAAGCGCACAGUCACUGCAGGAGCUCAGUGUCACACGGUUCCUGUUAGGUUGUUUUUAGUUUACUGGAGUGGUUUUUAUUUCCAGUUUUAUCAGUCAUAAAUGACUUAGCACAGUCUGUGAUGAAUACAGAAGUGCUGAAUAUAUGUCUGCAGAUAACCCUCCCCCUCCUUCAAGGCCACCACACAAACUGCUGCUGUACCAAGGGACUGGUUCAGCUUUUAAACAUGGCAAACAAAUGACUUAGGGAGACACUGAAACAGAAUUCACAGUGCAAAUGUACCAAAACUGUAAAGCCCAUGAGAUGCAACAACUGUGCUUCUAGCAUAUAUACCCUUUAAUUGUACUGUAAUUACUGUAUUUACUUGAAGCUUAGUUUGUUUAGGUAAUGUAAAACAUAAAAUGCUCAGCAGUCUCUGGAUAGCUAUUUUUAGGUUCUCUAUAUAUUCAGAAAAGUUAAUUUUGAAGUUAACUUCUGCUCAAUGAAAGGCAUAUCUGAAGGAGAUUUUGGAUUUUGGUGCAUAAAAGCAAUGAAUUCAACAGUCACUUUAAAGGAAACCGUUUUACCUUUUAAGCGACAAUUAGGAAGGUGAAUGCCGAGCACCAGCACAUGACUCUGACUCACUGAACAGAAUUUAGAACAGGUAGAGAUGCCUCGAGUUACUAACUCUGAGCACAACUCGAUUCUGAGCCCUCAGAGUAUCACAAACAGGAAUAUUCCAUAGUUUAAUGUCUUCAGUAGCUGCAGAAGGCUCAAUACUUGCCAUUUACGGUGAACUCCCAAGGCACUCCCAUGAACUCAAACUCAUAUACUUGUGGUAUAUGAAGUGCACAAGUAUACUCUGGGCUUUCACCUAAAAUUAAGGCGAUUUCAAGUCUCAUUUUAACAAAUCCUAUUCUAAUCUUAUAUUCACAGGAGACUGAGCAAGUAACAAACCAACCUGCUGAAUCUGUCUGCUUGCUUUUAAAACAUUCACACAAAAAUAUGCUCCAAACCCACAUGAGGGCUUUAAAAGAGAGAGAAAAACUGACUUAAGAGACGCUCAUGAGAUUCCCCCAGAUUUUCAAAAGCUGAGAACAACCAUUAAUACAGGUUCUUCCAAAACAGUGUCCUGUAUCAGCUAUCAAACUACCUUAAAACCAGUCCUGAAGCACAGGUAACUAUAUCUGGGUGUUCGGUGUCCUCCCAUCACUACAAACCUGCGAAUCCAGCCGCCGCUAUGGCCAGGCCGACCGCCACCAUCGUACUGGCCUGCACGGGGAACACAGAAGGUGGAUGUUUGCCAAAGGAUAAAUUAAAAAAGCCACCCGGCAGCGCGAAGAGCGGUUGGGGCGAGUGUGUACAUUAGUGUACGCACUGCCAUCAGCCCGACGCGGGGCACAGCGGUCACGACACGGGCGCGGCGCUCCCGGUGACCGCGGGGACACAGCGAGGGCCGCGGGGUCAGCGGGAACCCCCGAGCUGGAGGGGACGAGGGGAG